rnacentral:rRNA from 2 species
UCUCGCGUCAGGAUAUGCCUAGGUGGGAUUAGCUAGUUGGUGAGGUAAUGGCUCACCAAGGCGACGAUCCCUAGCUGGUCUGAGAGGAUGAUCAGCCACACUGGAACUGAGACACGGUCCAGACUCCUACGGGAGGCAGCAGUGGGGAAUAUUGCACAAUGGGCGCAAGCCUGAUGCAGCCAUGCCGCGUGUGUGAAGAAGGCCUUCGGGUUGUAAAGCACUUUCAGUCGUGAGGAAGGUAGUGUAGUUAAUAGCUGCAUUAUUUGACGUUAGCGACAGAAGAAGCACCGGCUAACUCCGUGCCAGCAGCCGCGGUAAUACGGAGGGUGCGAGCGUUAAUCGGAAUUACUGGGCGUAAAGCGCAUGCAGGUGGUUUGUUAAGUCAGAUGUGAAAGCCCGGGGCUCAACCUCGGAAUAGCAUUUGAAACUGGCAGACUAGAGUACUGUAGAGGGGGGUAGAAUUUCAGGUGUAGCGGUGAAAUGCGUAGAGAUCUGAAGGAAUACCGGUGGCGAAGGCGGCCCCCUGGACAGAUACUGACACUCAGAUGCGAAAGCGUGGGGAGCAAACAGGAUUAGAUACCCUGGUAGUCCACGCCGUAAACGAUGUCUACUUGGAGGUUGUGGCCUUGAGCCGUGGCUUUCGGAGCUAACGCGUUAAGUAGACCGCCUGGGGAGUACGGUCGCAAGAUUAAAACUCAAAUGAAUUGACGGGGGCCCGCACAAGCGGUGGAGCAUGUGGUUUAAUUCGAUGCAACGCGAAGAACCUUACCUACUCUUGACAUCCAGAGAACUUUCCAGAGAUGGAUUGGUGCCUUCGGGAACUCUGAGACAGGUGC